UGCUCAACUUGACAAGCCUUGGGUCGAUCCUCGAGCUACUAACAGGGUGCAGUCUGUUGCACUUGUUAGUGACAGGUGCAGUCUGUUUUACAAGUCAUUGUGCGGAAGUAUUUUCGCUAAUUAUUGGUGUUUGCUAAAAAAAGAAUCACAGUUGCUAUUGCUCAUAUUCAUAGAUUGUGACACUUUAAAUGUUUUUGGACUCCAUUGACUUUCAAUUUAUGGACAGUAACAGUUCUUCAAAGUAUCUUUUGUGUUCCACAGAAGAAAGAACAUCUUAUAGAUUUGGAACAACAUGAGGUUUCUUCCCUGACUUCAAGACAAACAGCAAUGGCGUCCAUCUUACCUCUUCCCAUUGAUGGAUGUAACGAAUCAGUCUGGACAGUCUGAGAAGUCGCAGUAAACUGAGGAUCUUGGUGAAACGCACUAUCCGCAACGCUCUGGCCGUCUUGUAAACUUCAGAGUCAAUGCCUUUCUCAACGAUGAGAAAGAUAUAAUCCACCGGGAUGGAUGAGACAAAGUCCACCACAAACCACGUCUUCAGGUAUUUCAUCUUGAUCUUUUGAGGGUCCAGUAUUAUCUCAGUGUUGUCUUCGUAGACUAUGCCCGUACGGAAAUUCAGUACAAGGUCCAUGAGGAAGAACGUGUCGGACACGACGUUGAAGAUAAUCCAAGGGGUGGUGGUUUCCUCCUUGAAGAAGGUGAUGCCCACAGGAAUGAUAAUCAAGUUGCCCACCAUAAACAUUAGCAUUGUGAAAUCCCAGUAGAACCUGCGUGGAGAAUAAAGGGAACAGACUUCAUCCUGAGAGGCUGAGGGGAUCAUUUCUGAACUUUGAAGUAAGUGUCCUGUCUGAAUUUCCCUUUGCAGUUUAUCCAGCUUUUGCGCAAAGGGAUUUCCAUAAAUGUUCUGGUAAAUUACACACACCUGGUGACGUGAAACGGCUUUAGUGAAGCUGUUGCUGUUGUACGUCGGCCAUCAAUGAUUAAUCUCAGUUUACUAACAAUCAAAUUAAUGUGAGGUCCUAAUCCUUAUUACGAACUAUAAUUAGUAUUGUGCAUUGUGCGUGUUUAAUAUUCAGGCCUAUGGGUUGUUGCGUUGAAAGAGCGCCUUUUGUUUCCCUCAUCAGCAUGUGUGUAAAUAAUGACACACACUAAUGCCAACUGGUACUCUGUUGUUACAGGCGUUUUUA